rnacentral:rRNA from 1 species
AAAUGGAGGGGGGUAGCGGUAUCCGGUGUUACUGUGCUGAAAGGGUGUGGAGGCGGUCUGUCAAGGCAGGUGUGAAAGUCUACGGCUCAACCGUAGGAAGCUCUUGAAACCGGGAGGUCUGAGGUGAGGAGAGGGUAGUGGAAAUCCUAGUGGAGCGGUGAAAUGCGUAGAUAUUGGGAGGAAGACCAGUUGCGAAGGCGGCUCUCUGGACUGUAACUGACGCUGAGGCACGAAAGCGUGGGGAGCAAACAGGAUUAGAUACCCUUGUAGUCCACGCUGUAAACGAUGAGUACUAGGUGUCGUGGGUUACCCCCUUCGGUCCCCCAGCUAACGCAUUAACUACUCCGCCUGCGCAGUUCGCUCGCAUGAGUGAAACUCAAAGGGAUUGACUGGGACCCGCACAAGUAGCGGAGCAUGUGGUUUACUUCGCCGCAACGCGACGAACCUUACCUAAGCUUGACCUCCCAUUUUACUCCCCUUAAACGGCGUGUUCCCUUCGGGG